AUCUGAGAAGCAGAAGGCAGUUAAAUCCCUAGUUGUCCCAAACGUAUUUUCAAACAUUGAUUUUUAAUACUGGUUCUUCACUGACUACUUUCUGUUUUCAAUCUGCUUACAAUUAGUCAUCAAUGCUUCCCUGGAGGUAACUCAGCAAUAUAAUAUUUUCCUGAGAGAUUUUUUUUUAUUUGAUGAAAUCAGAAUUUGAGGAACUUUUUCAUGACAGAGGCUGAUAGAACUAGAACUACUCAGAAAUGUAUAGUUCAUUUUUUUAGUCUGCAGAGUUCAUAAAAUGGUGGUUCUUGGGUAUCUGGCCCUCAAUAUCUCUGUUUGUCUGUUAAGGUGGAGAUUUGGUGCCUUUCUUCUUUAACCAGACCAUCGUGAGAACAUCAGAAAUCAGGCAUCCUGUCUUCUUCACAAGAAAUAUUUUCACAUAACAUCUUUAAAGCUUCUUCAGCUUCCCUUGGCUACUCAAUCCAGUGCUUGGAAAACUCCACUGAUGGAUAAACUAUACCUCCCUCCUGGGUUCCUAAGACCAGGCUUAUUCUCUCGGGUCUGCAUUCAGGACAAAAUGAAAACAGCUGUUCAUAAUACUCAGCAUGAGAGCCCUUUCCACACUGAACCACGAUGAAGGCUUCUCAGUGUGAAUAACAUUAAUUCCCUCCUUUCAUCUUUUCCAGGAGAGUUUUCUUUUCCAGCCCCUCCCCUUCCCCCUUCUCCAGCUCCCUUCCACAUUCUCUACUUGUGAAACCCAGGACUCAUUAAGGGACUACCAACUCUAGUCUGCUUCACAGGAGCUAACAAACAUAAUUGUAAAUUGAGGAUUAGGGAAGCUGUUUUUUGGUUGUUGUUUUUUUUUUUUUUCCCAAUGAUUACUUCAUCUCCAAAUUGUAUCUACUUCACUGUUUUCCUCUUUCCUUUUCCUUCUCUUCAUUACUUGUUUCUCUUUAAGACUUUAAAUUACCACUUCCUCUCCCCACUGCCCUGAGAACUCUAAUAAUUAUGACCCUCGGGGCUCAUUUCCCUUCCUUCUUUCUACCCCAUUCUGAAUUCCUCCUUUGAGCUUUAUGUGGCAAGAGUGUUGACGUGAGUGAGCUCCUCACCAGGAGACCCGUAGGCAGACUGGGGGCUGUCUUCACAGUACCUGCAAGUUUUAAAGUUAUCAAUGUUCUUUUGUGAGUGGGAGGACCUGAGUCACAGUUGUAAAUGUCAGCUGUACUAGCUGAGGGUCAUUAAUUCCUUUCAACCUUCACAUUUGGCCAAAGAUAAAGAGAAAAAUAUUUUCUGGUUUCUCUCUCUUUUUUUCAAUACCACAGUGUUCAAAUUCCGGAUAUGAGUAGUCAAUUUCUGAGGGAGAAAAAAAAAUUAUCACUGCUGACUCUCAGCUACUGCUAAUAUUUAGCCAGAUGACAUAUUUACUGGCUACUAGACACAGAAGUCUAAUGAAAGGUGUGAUAUUUCAGAAUAAUUUUGAUAACUGCCCGAGCCUUAGUGAGCUCUUCUAAAACAAGUAAAGCCACUUCUCAAACGUAUCGUAUGGGAUGACUAAGAAUAAAUUUUUUAUUUAUUAUCUUUUUGAAAGACAAAUGAUUGGCUUAUAACUCGAAGUAGGAAUUUACUAAGGGAUAAAAAGAUCCAUAGUUUCUAAAGUGUCUAUUUUGCAACCAGAUUUUUUUUAAACCUGAACUUAAUAUGUGCUUAAAUAAAAUAAUAACAAGGCUGAACAGAUACUUGAUGGGCCAUGUAAUACACUCCCCAGUACCUAAGCAUUCACCAUGUAAUUCGGUCAUCAUGCUAGAUGCCAUUUCAAUGACUUACAACUGUCAGGUUGCCAGAACAUCGCCCAAAGACUGGUACAGCUUUGGGUCUGUCCCUUUACAGGAUGUUUAUGACUUGAUCUUAACAACUCUGCAGGGGUCCCAGUCCAGCACUCUUAUUGUGACACCGCCUUACUGCUCAGCUUCUGUGGCAUUUAGAGCACUACCUGGUUUUGAGCACACAAGGGCAUGCUUUCAUUUCUUACUGUAUCCACUGACAGACAGAAGCAACAUUAAUAUCAGAAAUGUAUUCUUAAUUAGACUUGAGGCAUGAGCCAGAUUUUAUCUUAGUCAAGCCAGUUUUUCACAUCAUCUCACACUGCAGAGAGCAAUGAGAUAAAGACGUUCAGGAGUUACCUGGUGGCUCUCUGGGUUAAGGAUCUGGCAUUGUCCCUGCUAUGGUUCUGGUGCAGGUUUGAUCCCUGGCCCCAGAACUUUGCAUGCUGAGGGCAUAGCCAAAAAAUAUAUAGAAAAGCACUCAAGUCAACACAUUUUUUAAAAAUAAAUUAAAAGAGGUUCAAAAGCCUUUCCAAGUUUCUAUUCUCAUAGGAAAUCAGAACUUCUUAAAGCCAGUAUUUAUGUUGCCUAGGGCUAUGAUCUUCAUUUCACACAUUCUUCCCAUUAUUUCUAUCUCCUUGCUGUCCUUUGUCUGUUCUGAUUUCCUCUAUCUUUUUUUUUAAAGUACUCUUCAUCUGAAGUACUCCUCUCCUCAGCCUUUGGCUUCUCAAAGAAUAAAAGACUCUCUUUUAAAUCCUAAGUAGCAUCAUGUAAAGUAUAAUGUGGAGGAGGAGAGGAUCCAGUUCUGAUAGGUCCCGUGUGGUCCAGUUUAUCACAAGGAUUCCUCCAGAAUGCCUUCUUGACAUUGUUCAUUCUAGUUCCCCAAGAAGGGCUCUAACCCUGAGACCUGGGAUUUCUCACUACAACCUCUGCAUUAGUCUAGAUUAAUGUCUAAAGCCUGUUUAAUAUUCUGGAGACUCCAGGAUGUGAAUUUCUUAUUGCUUAUGAGCCUCCUGCUUUUCUAAGCUGACACCUGUCAGGAGCACCAGUAGCCCUCACAGUAACUAAUGCAGCAGAAUAAUGGUCAGAAACAUUAUAGUAUGUAUUGGGGAGGAUAAGAAGAGAUUUGUUUCUUUUCCUCCAUUCAGAGCUUGCUUUCUCCCCCAUCCCACCCCACCCCUGCCACCACAAUGCAUUUCAGAAACUCUGCAUCUCAUUUUACAGAUAUGUAGUUUUAGGAUUUGCAAAUAUAGCUUAGGAAAUGUUCCGAGAUUGAGGCUGGUAGCAAACCAGUUUAUUUUCUGCACUGGACUUUAGGACAAGUGUGCACAGAUACAAUUCCUUCAAAGAAAGUGAAACUAACAUAGUAAAGCAAAGGGAUAAUACUUUUACACAUUAAAACAGUUGUUUGCUAUCUGUAAACCUUGAUGUAAGCAUAAUUACUACUUUUUAGAAACCUAAAACUGGAGGAAUGUGUAUUUUAGUAAAGUUUGUUUGUUGAUUUGUUUGUAUCUCUUUCUUCUCAAGACAGUAAAAAAAAUUUAAUUCUUUCAUUUGAUACUGUCCAAGGCCAUAGGCAUCAGUCAAAUUUCCAACCUUUACCAUACUCCUUUCUCUCUUAGAAUGAAAAGCCUUCUAUUCUAUCAUUAAGGAGCCUUUCUCCAUGAAAAUCUUUAUCUUCCUUUUCAAGUAGCAUGUGAGAGCUUUGAGGAGAGAGAUUUGCUCUGCACUUUGAGGGUAGGAUAGUUAAAAUAAAAGCUAUUCCUUGAAAAAGAAACCUGUGUACCUAAACUAAUAGGUCCGAAGCCUAACAAUGGGAAUUGAUUGCAGAUAAAGGUCAUGCCUUUCACACUACAAAUCCUUAUUGCCUUCUCACAUUUUUUGAAAUAAGGCUGGGAAUAAACUAAAGUAGUGAAAAUCCUCCUUGGAUGCUUCUUAUGAAUAUAGUACAGAAUCAC
rnacentral:lncRNA from 1 species